AGUGAACGCUGGCGGUAGGCCUAACACAUGCAAGUCGAACGGCAGCACAGUAAGAGCUUGCUCUUACGGGUGGCGAGUGGCGGACGGGUGAGGAAUACAUCGGAAUCUACUUUUUCGUGGGGGAUAACGUAGGGAAACUUACGCUAAUACCGCAUACGACCUACGGGUGAAAGCAGGGGAUCUUCGGACCUUGCGCGAUUGAAUGAGCCGAUGUCGGAUUAGCUAGUUGGCGGGGUAAAGGCCCACCAAGGCGACGAUCCGUAGCUGGUCUGAGAGGAUGAUCAGCCACACUGGAACUGAGACACGGUCCAGACUCCUACGGGAGGCAGCAGUGGGGAAUAUUGGACAAUGGGCGCAAGCCUGAUCCAGCCAUACUGCGUGGGUGAAGAAGGCCUUCGGGUUGUAAAGCCCUUUUGUUGGGAAAGAAAAGCAGCAGGUUAAUACCCCGCUGUUCUGACGGUACACAAAGAAUAAGCACCGGCUAACUUCGUG
rnacentral:rRNA from 1 species